rnacentral:rRNA from 1 species
CCUACGGGAGGCUGCAGUGGGGAAUCUUGCACAAUGGGCGAAAGCCUGAUGCAGCGACGCCGCGUGCGGGAUGAAGGCCUUCGGGUUGUAAACCGCUUUCAGCAGGGACGAGGCGAAAGUGACGGUACCUGCAGAAGAAGCCCCGGCUAACUACGUGCCAGCAGCCGCGGUAAUACGUAGGGGGCAAGCGUUAUCCGGAUUCAUUGGGCGUAAAGCGCGCGUAGGCUGCCCAGUAGGUCGAGAGUUAAAUCCGGGGGCUCAACCCCCGUCCGCUCCCGAUACCGCUGGGAUUCGAGUCUGGUAGGGGAAGGUGGAAUUCCCAGGGUAGCGGUGGAAUGCGCAGAUAUUGGGAAGAACACCGGUGGCGAAGGCGGCCUUCUGGGCCAUGACUGACGCUGAGGCGCGAAAGCUAGGGGAGCGAACAGGAUUAGAUACCCCUGUAGUC